rnacentral:rRNA from 1 species
GGGUCAGUAGGUUGGUCGUGCCACCGGUACGUACUGGUCUCACUGAUUCCUCCUUCCUGACGAACCGUAAUGCCAUUAAUUUGGUCUUGCGGGGAAACAGGACUGUUACUUUGAAAAAAUUAGAGUGUUUAAAGCAAGCUAACGCUUGAAUACAUUAGCAUGGAAUAAUGAAAUAGGACGAUCGAUCCUAUUUUGUUGGUUUCUAGGAUUGACGUA